AAUCAUUAAUAUUUCAUAACUACAUAACAUCAAAUGUUAUAUUGUCGUAGAUAUAUGUUACGAUUAGGCUAUUUGACCUCUUCUUUAUAUAUGUAGCUUAAAAAAGUGAUCAUUCGUCCGAUGGACAGGAUUACUAUACUUCCUUAGCUUAUGCUCAGGAUCUAAAAAGCAGUUUAUCCUAUUUUAUAAAUAUCACGUUCAAAAACACUUACAAAUAUGGCAGUAAAACCUAGAACUAUAUUAAGUUUCAUCGAUUUUGUGUGCUUCCUCGAGAGUCCGUUUUGAAAAUACUUUUUUUCAUAGUACGUAGAUGUAGAGGAUGUGUGAUCUAAGAUUUGACAGUUGUUCUUUUUUUUAUAAGAUACCGUAUUAUCAUACUACAUCGAUUAUAAGAAUUUCGGAGAUUAUCAGUCUAAUAAAAGUCGGCACAGACAGACAGACAGACAGAGUGACAGGAGAAACGAGAUACUGACAAGUCACUUACACUCGGGAAGUAAAAAAUAAUUUAAGAAAUAAAUAUCUAAAUGAGAAAA